UUGCACUCCGCGCCCGGCAGGGCGAGUUUGCAGGCUUGCGGUAAGGAGCCUGCAGGAUGCACCUCGCUGUUAAAUAAGAACUGCCCUCGACAUAAGCAAUAUUGAAAUAAUUGCAGCUCAUCCAUGGCCAGAUGUUGACUAACAAGACCCUCCUGUUCCACAAGUCAUAACUGCAGUCCAAGUAAACCACAUCGAAAGGAGACUGAAACUACUUGGAUGAAUACAAUGGAAUCCUGUGGAAUGGCACCCCAAACCAAGAUGGUGGCAGAGAGCUGACAAUUGGAUUAUUUGCAUAUCCUUUGUGUGGUCAUCCUAGCAUCUCAGGAUCAGGAAAGAUGAAGAGGAGGGAGGGGAAAGGAAAAAUUUCCACUUAAAGUAGAGCUUGCCUAGGAGACAUCAACUGACUCUUGUAUUUUAACAGCACAGGCUGAAGCUGAUAAGGGUCUUUAAGCCUCAGUAACCUUAGACAGGCACCUUCCUCACUGGACCUAACUGAAGAGACUUUCCUGACUAGUGAACAAUGGGAUAUUUAUUUUAUUUAACCAAUGGUGUAGAGACCUAUAUAUUCAUUCUGCCCCAUAUCCAGAGUGCCAGUUUCCAAUGCUUAAUUAGCAUAAGCCCCAUAAGCUCCCCACUUCUAACAUUUAAAAACCCCUGACUUUCCCUCCUCAGUGAAAUUCUUCAUGGAGUAAGUUCUCUUGCUUGGCAAGUUAAUAGACUCAGCUUUGUAAUUUUUUUUUUCUAGCUCUAACGGUAUUUGUUUUACUCAUGGACAGGUGAGAAGGACAAGGGUAGAGGAGUCUUCAAACACCCCACAGCCAGCCAUCUUGGGUGAAUUACUGCAGUUUUCGAAAGGUGCCAGCAGGUUUCCUCCCGCAUAACAUUUGCAUUAUGUUGUACAUGCCACCGUCUUCAGAUGGCUAAUCCCUAUGAAAUUCAGUUAACAUGACAUUUUCUAGGAAACCUUUACAUCCUUUGCUGUGUUGGGUGCAACCUUGUCUGUCAUUCCGUUUUUGUACUCAUCACAUACUUAAUGGUAUCAACUGGUUCAGCAAUUGGACCCCUUCCUACUGUACUGAGAUUCUUGAGAGUCACUUUGAUAUGCACCCCAGACCCUCAGCAUACUGUCUAGAGCAGUAGUUUUCAAAACCUAAUGUGUAUCAGAAUCGUCUGGAGAAAUAGUUAAAACAGAAUCUCAAGCCCUACCUGCAGAGUCUCUGCUUCAGUAAGUCUGGGUGAGGCCCAAGGAUAUGUGCUUUUAACCAGUUCCCAAACAAUGUUGAUGCUAUUGGUCUGGAGAACAUACUUUGGGACUUCCUGGUCCAUAUCAUACUAGUCACUCAAAAAAUGUUCAUUAAAAGAUUUCAAGGAUUAUAAAUUACUUUUUAUUUUGAUUUGAAGCCAAAUUAAAGCAUUUUGUAAGUUAUCCAAAGUAAGGUAAAUACUCCAGGUCCUUGCUACUCAAAAUGGGGUCCUUGGGCUACUUGCACUGGCAUUACUAGGGACUCUGUUAGGAAUGGAGACUCUCUUGCCGCCUGGUGGACCUACUGACUCAGAAUCUCCAUUCUGAGAUUCUGAUCUCUCAAGAUCCUCAGCCUCACAUCAAAAUUUGAGAAGCACUGCUCAUGUGUGUGAGUGUGUGUGUGUGUGUGUGUAUGUUUAUGUGUGUUGUCAUUAUUAUUGCUUUGGAGUAGUUUUAACAGCAUCCAUAAAACUGGUUUUCACUAAUUAUUCCAUUCGUGGAUUUUCCAAGUCCUUUGUUCCCAAAUAAUAGUGGGUUUACUUUUCUUCUUGGUAAGUGCACAAAGAUUAAGCUUCAUAAAAGCUUUAACUUUAUAUUUGGUAUGUUGACUUAAUUUUAAUCAUUAUUUAGUGAUUCUUCUGUUAUGACACAAAAACACAGAAGGGUGAAAGGGUGAAAUGACUACUGAAGGAGUAAAUUAUUUCAGCAAAAAGAUAAAUAGCAGAGAAACAUGGGAAAUGAGUUAUACCUACAGAAUAGAAAUGCUUGAAUGUGGUAACAAUUCUACAGAAUUUAAUAUCUCUGUUAAGUUACAAAUUGCAAUUUCUUAGUAGCACCUGUAGACUUAAAGAUUAACUAGUAGUUUUA
rnacentral:lncRNA from 1 species